GGUUAGAAAGUGAAUACUCACACUCAGUUUCGGCCUGAACCUUUGGCCAUAGCGCCUCUAACUU
rnacentral:tRNA from 1 species